rnacentral:lncRNA from 1 species
GCUCUGCGCGCCGCCGGCUCCGGGUCUGGCCUCCGGGCGUCCCGCGCCGGUACCAGGCCCCCGAGCCUGAGGCUCUUAGCCCUUCGCGGACAAAGGAGAUCUCAGUUUGCGAAGGGCAAAGCUGCCUUUUCCAUCCUUUUGACGCAUCUUUGCGCGUCCACUCCCCGCUCUCUUAUUUGGACAUUUCACCCCGAAGACCCCUUGUCCAGCAGGGAGUGACCUCAUCAGCUCCCCUAAACUUGAAGUCAGGGGCCAUGCGACGCGGCUUGCCUGCAGGAUUUCACAGCCACUGAGUGAAGGAAGUUGUGGAGCUGUGUCUUACAGACGAAGAAACGGGAUCAGAGGGAUAAAGGAAUCUGCCCCAGAUUACCCACGUAGGGAAGGGUGGCGCAGGAACCCGGACCUCCAUGAUGUGAAUGAGCCCUUUGACAGCCUUUUUCUUCUCCUUACCUGUACCCCAAACCUCUGCACCUUUACCCCAGUUCCUCCUUGCUCUGGUGUAAACAGUGGUAACGGUCCCACUUGCGGCGUGCCCCCGCAAUGCUGGGUCCUGUUCCACAUGACAGACCACUGUAGAGGAAUUAUACGGACCAUUUUACAGAUGAGAACACAAGGCUCGGAGAGGUCAAGUUACUUGCUGCAGAACUGGGACUUGUACCCAGGGUCGCCAUCAAACCCAGUU